CUAAACAUAUUACCGAAACUGUGGAUGAACCUCUUUAGAGGUUCGUGGUAGGAGAGCGUUCUAAGGGCGGUGAAGUCAGACCGGAAGGACUGGUGGAGCGCUUAGAAGUGAGAAUGCCGGUAUGAGUAGCGAAAGAAGGGUGAGAAUCCCUUCCACCGAAUAUCUAAGGUUUCCUGAGGAAGGCUCGUCCGCUCAGGGUUAGUCGGGACCUAAGCCGAGGCCGAUAGGCGUAGGCGAUGGACAACAGGUAGAGAUUCCUGUACCAGUGCUAAUUGUUUAACCGAUGGGGUGACACAGAAGGAUAGGGAAUCGCACGAAUGGAAAUGUGCGUCCAAGCAGUGAGUGUGAGAAGUAGGCAAAUCCGCUUCUCGCGAAGCAUGAGCUGUGAUGGGGAAGGAAAUUAAGUACGGAAGUUCCUGAUUUCACGCUGUCAAGAAAAGCCUCUAGGAAGAGUAGUACUGCCCGUACCGCAAACCGACACAGGUAGAUGAGGAGAGAAUCCUAAGGUGAGCGAGAGAACUCUCGUUAAGGAACUCGGCAAAAUGACCCCGUAACUUCGGGAGAAGGGGUGCUCUAUUAGGGUGCAAGCCCGAGAGAGCCGCAGUGAAUAGGCCCAGGCGACUGUUUAGCAAAAACACAGGUCUCUGCAAAACCGUAAGGUGACGUAUAGGGGCUGACGCCUGCCCGGUGCUGGAAGGUUAAGAGGAGUGCUUAGCUUCGGCGAAGGUACGAAUUGAAGCCCCAGUAAACGGCGGCCGUAACUAUAACGGUCCUAAGGUAGCGAAAUUCCUUGUCGGGUAAGUUCCGACCCGCACGAAAGGCGCAACGAUCUGGGCACUGUCUCAACGAGAGACUCGGUGAAAUUAUAGUACCUGUGAAGAUGCAGGUUACCCGCGACAGGACGGAAAGACCCCGUGGAGCUUUACUGCAACCUGAUAUGGAAUGUUUGUACCGCUUGUACAGGAUAGGUAGGAGCCGAAGAGACGUGUGCGCUAGCAUACGAGGAGGCAAUGGUGGGAUACUACCCUGGCUGU
rnacentral:rRNA from 1 species